CAGGAGGCAAACAGCGCUUACCUCCUGCUGUUAGAUCCCUCUGCCGAAGACUGCUGGGGACCAUGCCGCCACUCGGGACCGCCACCACACCGGACCCCGGCAUCACUAAAGGUCCUUCAGCAAAGAUCCUCUCCUAUCCUGCACAGAUAAGCUCCGCCCCCGUGUGACAUCAUCAAAGGUCCUUCAGCAUCCAGUACAACAGAGGUUCCAGAAUAAUCGCAGCAGGAGGAAGGAAGAAAAAAAGAAACUCUGUGCAGGAAGGGAACAUGGCGACUCCAGAAGACUUCAAAAAGGACCAGAGCAACAUGAAGCGCUGUGACCGAAUAGGAUCGGGCCAGGGACAGAAGUUGGGGAAAGCAUGCAGGCACAAUGCUGAGCGAUCUGACAGACGAGAAUCAGGCAAAUCUGAAGGAGGAAUGGACAAUAUUAUUUUCAUUGAGGACGAAACACCAGAGUCAUACAUAACCAAAGAGAUGCCUCAAAAUCAAGAUAAAACAUUGAAGUCAAUCCCUCAUUCUGGGGAAAAAAAAUGUUCCAAACGAAAGUCAAAUGAUCAAAGCAUGUCUGGUGAAGCAGACAGUGAGGACUCGAAUGAAGAAAAGCUAACCCUGGGUCCAACACGUAGACGUAAACGUGCAAAACCAUUUCGGCCGGAGGAGUUAGAAGAGAUAGUGAAAUUUGUGGAUAAUAAUGAUUAUUAUGAGGCACCUAAAGGUCAAAUUAAAUCACACAAAUCCAGUGUCAUGCAUCAACUGAGUGUGCAUCUCUAUAAUAAGUUUGGAACUUGUCACACACUACGCCAAUGUCAAAAGAGACUGUCCGAUUUAAGAAAUCGACAAAAAAAAAAACCUUGGUGCGAUUCGUAAGAAGUUUGCCAUAGGUGAAACUAAUCAAAACAGUCCUUAUAUGCAGAAUAAGAAAGAUAACGGACUUACAGGUUCAAACAAGAACACAUCUUCCAACUGUAAAAGCCACAGUUGAGGAUGAUUUGCUUGCACUCACCCUGCAUCCAGUCGAGCCCGAGGUUGGAAGCAAUAUUCAGGACAUGCAGAGACUCUCAUCUUGUAACAGAGAUUGAACAGAAAGUGGAGAAAAUUGUUCAUGAACGGAUGGACAAAUUGGAAGGACAUCUUUCAACUUUAAUUCGAAACUGCAUGAAUGAGAUCUCAUCUCAGAUAGAAAGUAUUUGAAAUUAUAAUGUGGCUGGGCAAUGUCUUGACCUUACCCUUGAUCUUGAGCCUUAGACAUUUCUUUUUAAGUAAAGAAAAAAUAUUGUUAAAAGUAGGUAGAAAAUGAUGUAAAUUAUAUACUGUUUAUUUUUUUUUCAUUGUUCGCAUUUCAUAUUGGCAAUCUGCCUUUUUGAUUUACAUAUUUUUGUCUCGCCCCCUCCCAUAGGCUUGCAUUGAGUGCAGAGCGUGACGUCACACGGGGGCAGAGCCGUGAGGUCACUAUGCUCUGUCCCCGUGAUCGCCUGUAAUCAGACCCGGAGCGAGCACGCUCCGGGGGCUGAUUCUAACGGGGUGCGGCGUGGAAGAUCACGGGGGUCCCCAGCGGCGGGACCCCCGUGAUCAGGCAUCUUAUCCCCUAUCCUUUGGAUAGGGGAUAAGAUGUCUUAGCGCCAGAGAUCCCCUUUAAGUAUCAAGUGAUCUGGUCUCCUUGGCUCUCUUAUAUGACUUCCCCUGAGUUUAGGAACCAUAACUUGCCAUUGUGAUACAUAAUGGGGGCCGAUGGUAGUGGACCAGUCUGAAAGGUACGUGCACCUACCACUUAUCUCUUCUGUAUCCUCAACCUGUUUCUUCUCCCUAUCUCUCCUCUAUUUCUCCCCCUCUCCCUGCCCUUUUUUCCUUACUUAACUCUCCCUCUUCCCUGCCCUCCCCGGUAUCCCCCUUGCUCUGCCUUCCUCAUGUCUCCUGCAUUUCCCUUUUUUAGUGUGCUCUUUCUUCCUCCUUUCUUUCUUCCUUUACCCUUAGCUUCAGGUAUAACCAAUACUUUCAGUGUCCCUUUGCUGCACCUCUUUAAGUGUGGAGGGUGACACCCUCUUCCAACCACAUCCCGGUGUUUACGGUGUUAACUGCCCAGGUUGGUGACCUCAACCUGCCUGUAGAUGUUUGUGAUGCUGGACAUACUACUGUGAGCCCUGUUACGACAUCAAAGCUUGUUCCUGCAUGUUCAAUUGUUAAGGGGUCACUCUCCCCAUUGUUCUUUUCCAAAUACGUAUUAUGUUUGUUGUAAAAUGUGUUGUAUGCAUACUUGUUUAUCUUGAAAUCUUGAAUAAAACUUUACUUUAAAAAUAAAAAAAACUA